rnacentral:rRNA from 1 species
UACGUAGGGGGCAAGCGUUGUCCGGAAUCAUUGGGCGUAAAGAGCGUGUAGGCGGUCCGGUUAGUCGGCUGUGAAAGUCAAGGGCUCAACCCUUGAAUGCCGGUCGAUACUGCCGGACUAGAGUCCGGAAGAGGCAAGUGGAAUUCCCGGUGUAGCGGUGAAAUGCGCAGAUAUCGGGAGGAACACCAAUGGCGAAGGCAGCUUGCUGGGACGGUACUGACGCUG